GACGAACGCUGGCGGCGUGCUUAACACAUGCAAGUCGAACGGAAAGGCCCUGCUUUUGUGGGGUGCCCGAGUGGCGAACGGGUGAGUAACACGUGAGUAACCUGCCCUUGACUUUGGGAUAACUUCAGGAAACUGGGGCUAAUACCGGAUAGGAGCUCCUGCUGCAUGGUGGGGGUUGGAAAGUUUCGGCGGUUGGGGAUGGACUCGCGGCUUAUCAGCUUGUUGGUGGGGUAGUGGCUUACCAAGGCUUUGACGGGUAGCCGGCCUGAGAGGGUGACCGGCCACAUUGGGACUGAGAUACGGCCCAGACUCCUACGGGAGGCAGCAGUGGGGAAUAUUGCACAAUGGGCGGAAGCCUGAUGCAGCAACGCCGCGUGCGGGAUGACGGCCUUCGGGUUGUAAACCGCUUUCGCCUGUGACGAAGCGUGAGUGACGGUAAUGGGUAAAGAAGCACCGGCUAACUACGUGCCAGCAGCCGCGGUGAUACGUAGGGUGCGAGCGUUGUCCGGAUUUAUUGGGCGUAAAGGGCUCGUAGGUGGUUGAUCGCGUCGGAAGUGUAAUCUUGGGGCUUAACCCUGAGCGUGCUUUCGAUACGGGUUGACUUGAGGAAGGUAGGGGAGAAUGGAAUUCCUGGUGGAGCGGUGGAAUGCGCAGAUAUCAGGAGGAACACCAGUGGCGAAGGCGGUUCUCUGGGCCUUUCCUGACGCUGAGGAGCGAAAGCGUGGGGAGCGAACAGGCUUAGAUACCCUGGUAGUCCACGCUGUAAACGGUGGGUACCAGGUGUGGGGUCCAUUCCACGGGUUCCGUGCCGUAGCUAACGCUUUAAGUACCCCGCCUGGGGAGUACGGCCGCAAGGCUAAAACUCAAAGGAAUUGACGGGGCCCCGCACAAGCGGCGGAGCAUGCGGAUUAAUUCGAUGCAACGCGUAGAACCUUACCUGGGUUUGACAUGGAUCGGGAGUGCUCAGAGAUGGGUGUGCCUCUUUUGGGGUCGGUUCACAGGUGGUGCAUGCCUGUCGUCAGCUCGUGUCGUGAGAUGUUGGGUUAAGUCCCGCAACGAGCGCAACCCUUGUUCACUGUUGCCAGCACGUUAUGGUGGGGACUCAGUGGAGACCGCCGGGGUCAACUCGGAGGAAGGUGGGGAUGACGUCAAGUCAUCAUGCCCCUUAUGUCCAGGGCUUCACGCAUGCUACAAUGGCUGGUACAGAGAGUGGCGAGCCUGUGAGGGUGAGCGAAUCUCGGAAAGCCGGUCUCAGUUCGGAUUGGGGUCUGCAACUCGACCUCAUGAAGUCGGAGUCGCUAGUAAUCGUAGAUCAGCAACGCUGCGGUGAAUACGUUCCCGGG
rnacentral:rRNA from 1 species